AUUGAACGCUGGCGGCAGGCCUAACACAUGCAAGUCGAGCGAGCGGCGGACGGGUGAGUAAUGUAUGGGGAUCUGCCCGAUAGAGGGGGAUAACUACUGGAAACGUUGUCAAAUCCGGCUAACUAUCGGUGAAACCCAUAUGGGAUUAGCUAGUAGUUGGGGUAAAGGCUCACCUAGGCGACGAUCUCUAGCUGGUCUGAGAGGAGGAUCAGCCACACUGGGACUGAGACACGGCCCAGACUCCUACGGGAGGCAGCAGUGGGGAAUAUUGCACAAUGGGCGCAAGCCUGAUGCAGCCAUGCCGCGUGUAUGAAGAAGGCCUUAGGGUUGUAAAGUACUUUCAGCGGGGAGGCGUUACCCGCAGAAGAAGCACCGGCUAACUCCGUGCCAGCAGCCGCGGUAAUUC
rnacentral:rRNA from 1 species